GUAACCCACAUAAAGUGGGUAUGCCACUUUAAGAGAAGAGGUUAAGGAAGCUGGGUGGUCUGCCUGGCCAAUGAGAAGUUUGGUUUCCAGAGCGUCUGGACCAAUCAGGGUGCAGGCUGCCGUUGUGGAUCCCGCCCUUCUCCCCCGGGUCUGCAGUACCGUUGGUUUUGCUCUAGAGAUCCGACGCGGUGAGACUGCUGAGCGGGGCAGCGCCAGAGUAUGUAUCCCGACAGUUAAAAGUAUUUUUUACGUGCUGUAUUAACUGUAUUGUGGAUAAACUCUUUUGUAAAUAGAUUUUAUGUUGAUUGUCCAGCUUUUGUGCUGGAAAUUAUUUAUUAAAUGAAUACAAACUGAACUUCAGUUUUUUACCGUUAGAGCCGUUAGGAAUCGUUGGCUCUUUCUGGCAGUUAUUUCAGCUUGUUCUUCGUAGAUAAAAGGUAAAAUUUAGGCUUUAACAUAAUUUUAUUUUAUUAAGUUUAUAUUAUUUAGAUCAAAUAUGCCUUGUUACAUCGUUUAGUGCCCCACGCAUCCGGAUUGAGACCCACUAUACGGUUGUCUGAAGUGUGUCGCACUGAGAUCGGUCAGGUUUUUUUUUAUACUGGAUCAUUCCUGAAGUGGAUCCCUCCUUUGAUAUUGAUGGCGAGCCUUCCCACCUGGACCUAAAGAGAGAACCAGAUUUCGUCUAUCCCAUUUGGAGUCAUGCUGCACCCUGCGGUGUGGUAGGAGAGCAACAUACAUCUUCACACACGGUUAUGUGUGAAACCUACAGCUGACAUUCUCCAUUAUUAUUGUUUUUUUUUUAUUUAUUGAUUUUUGGACAAUACUGUUUGGAUUGUUUUAUUUCGGACAUUGUGACGCACAGCUGUGGUGGAAAUUCUCCUGUGAAUGAAGUUGAAUCAAACCAAAUUGGGAUUAAUUUGAUUAAUCUGCUGACUAAUACAAUUUGGAGUGCAGAUUACCAGGGUGCACCCGAAUUAUUUGAAAUUAAGAAUUAGCACUUGGCCAAGUAUUAUUGUUAUUUCUUUUUUUUUUUUUCAUUUUAUUGUGUGUAAUUUUAUUUUCAUAAUUGUGUGUUUUGUGCAACUGUUAAUUGUGUGUUUUCUGUCACUAAAACCAGUUCUUUAAAUACACCCAACUGCCCUUGUGUGUCAUUUAAACACUCCACUGUGCUCCGAUAGCCGAACCUAUUGGCCCAUUUAUCCAAAAUAUAUGUAAUACCCUUCUCUACUGUGUUACAGAGGAAGCUAUGGCGAGCCAGCCAGGAGCAUGAGUGUGUGUGUUUAAGUGUCAGACAUCUUACACAUAUUGUUAGAACGUGCCAAGUACUUCUCCUUAAAAACAAAAAAAAAAUAAAAAACCAAAUAUGGAUGUGGUACUCCGGGAGUCCAUCCAAAUUCCCCAUUCUGUGGUUGUUAGUGGUUUAACAGGGUCAGAGACAGAUGAGGAAGUGUCAACCUUUCUCCAGAAGUAUGGUUCCAUUAACCGUUACAUUUGCUUAGAUGAUCCUAAGUCAGAUUACCAUAAAAACAUGAUCGUUGAGUUUGCACAUGAAACUGCCAUGCAGACAUUGGAACCAUUGUUGCCUCUUCAGUUUCCAAGCAUGACUCAAGCAGGCAUUGUGUAUGAGUUAAAGGCUUUAGGAAGUGUCUACACCAUAGAUGCCAGAAG